AUACCCCAGACGAUCCAGCAACAAGUCAUUCCACAAAUGGGGUUGGAAACACACUCAGGCUACUGAGUCACUGAGGAUCAUCUGCAGGUGUCCUAUAUGCUUAUUCACCAUCCAAGGGAACUCUGGUUAUCAGCGCUUCGAGAAUCUUCUAGAAUGUACACUUUUUACUUUACAUCAUAGUUGAGUUUGUGCACUAGCUUUGAACCACAUUUUAAGCUCCUUGAGGGUUGAGGCUGGGCUCUAAUUAUUUCUCCAGAAAGCCUAGCACAGAACACAUACCUCAUAAUUGCUUAUGGUGUGAAGACACCCCAUUCAGAGACUUUUUUGGAGUCAAGAAAUGUUCACUGAAGACAGAAUCCUCUCUCGGGUGAUGAAGUUAGCCUUUUUGGGACAGACCUGUCCAUUCAUCACCCUGGUGUGACAACAUCGGAGAUGUAGCAACACUAAAUGAUCAUUUCCUGAGUGGUUUCUGGACUACACACUGGACCCAGAAGCUCUUUCUUCAUACGCUGUCAUUCAUCCUCAAAUGACUCCACAGAGAUCAUCUAAACCAGCCCAAGAAACUGAAAUCUGGUUUCAGCGUAUAAAUGAGAUAAUGUCAUCAUGGGCUUAAUCCUAUGCCCCGAAAAGGUCCAGCAUUUGGCCAGCAGCAGGUGUCCACGCUCUUCUGUUGAGGGCAUUCCCGAACAUCGCGGUGUCUCGUACUGUGGUUCAUCCUGUUCUCUGGGUUGUUUGUACCCUUUCGGCAGUGGGCACUAAAAUCAACCUGCAGUGUCUUAUGAAACAUCUGAGAAGUGGGCAUAGUUUCCAUGCAUAGGAAUAUUUAAAUAUAAUCUGAUACACAGACCCAAAGACCUAGACUCCAAGGAAAACCAAAUUUAAUAAUUGUAAUAAAAUUGCAAUAACACAGGCUAAUUAUUUAUAGUCACUUUCUUUCAGGCAGUGUCAAGGGCAUAAUUGGCCUGAUAGGAUGAGCUUUUCGGUCAGCUAAGGAAAUGAAAGAGAACCUAGUCCUAUUCAAGUUAUUUAUAAAAUGUGAUAUCCUUAAAUGUCACCAAGUGUAAUUUUUCUU